GUUUGGCGUAUAGAGGUGAGUUGUUUUUAUGGAAUUAAAGGGCAUUGCGAUUGUGUUAGCUCACACGUCGUCACGUGCGUCACCCAGCCUUGGAUUUUAGCUUCGGAUGGGUCUCUCUCAGGUCAUUGGCCUUGUUUCUUUGUAACUUUUCCGGCUAUCCGAGAAGGCAAAAACUUGCCAUUCACGUGAAUGCCCAGCAACAACAAACUAUAUCCUACAAAGCCUGUCGAAUCAUAUACCUCCAGGUCCAGCC
rnacentral:misc_RNA from 1 species